GCCCGCAUCUCUCCUGCACCCUGUGCCCGCAGUCUGUGCCCACUCCCUGUGCCUGCUCAUUCUGCCCGCACUCUGUGCCCGCUCCAUCUGCCCGCCCCCUGUGCCUGCAGCCUGUGCCCUCAUCUCUGCCCGCACUCUGUGCCCGCAGCCUCUGCCUGCACCCUCUGCCCACUCCCUGUGCCCUCUCCCUGUGCCCGCUGGAUUUUGGCUGCUGCCAGACUGGUGGGGAGCUCUGGCUCCUGCAGUUGCUGUGCAGGGGUGUCCCCUGGGGCUCAGCCCCUGGACUGCGUCCUAAUCCAGACCAAGGGUGGGAGCAGAGACAGUGACCUUUGCCAAGGGCUCUGGUGCACAAUGGACUGGCGGAUCAAUACGUGUACGAGUGCAACAUGUCAACAUCCCUGCACCUCCUGAGCUGGCCAGGGUGGCCUUGCUGCUGCUGAGGACAUUAACUGCAGCCUCCUGAAAGGCUUUUUGUGAGGUGUACAGCCCUAGAGAAAGGCUGGACUUUGUAGGAGAGAUGGGUUCCUAUAGAUCAUGCAGCAUAUUUCAUCAGGAGAAUAAUUCAUCUUUCUUAUUUUCCUGAGGAAUCCUUUGCCCACACUGCACUCGUUUGUAA